AUGUGAUUUUUGAGAAAAGGAAUCAACUUGGGACGGUGUCCAAGGGUGUCGCAAGCUCGUAGGGCGGGUAGGCGCGCCCCUUGAGCUCAUGGGUGGGUGUCCUUCAACCGCAAUGAAGCUAACAUCAUGACACAAAUCCCCUCAAAACUUCAGCCCUAUCGAGGUUACGGAUCUCUGGAUAUUUAAAAGACGGUGAAACAUGAGA
rnacentral:lncRNA from 1 species